rnacentral:rRNA from 1 species
CCUACGGGUGGCAGCAGUAGGGACUUUUGCGCAAUGGGCGAAAGCCUGACGCAGCAACGCCGCGUGAACGAGCCGCCCUUCGGGGUGUAAAGUUCUGUCAGUGGGGACGAAAAAUGACGGUACCCACAGAGGAAGCACCGGCUAACUCCGUGCCAGCAGCCGCGGUAAUACGGAGGGUGCAAGCGUUGUCCGGAAUCAUUGGGCGUAAAGAGUGCGUAGGCGGCAUGUAAAGUCAGCGGUAAAAUUGCGGGGCUCAACCCCGUCGAGCCGUUGAAACUGGCAGACUUGAGUUGGCGAGAAGUACGCGGAAUGCGCGGUGUAGCGGUGAAAUGCAUAGAUAUCGCGCAGAACUCCGAUUGCGAAGGCAGCGUACCGGCGCCAGACUGACGCUGAGGCACGAAAGCGUGGGGAUCGAACAGGAUUAGAUACCCUAGUAGUC